UGUGCGCAAGACGUCCAGUACGUCAUUGGUGCAAGUGCUCUCUACUCUUUUCGUUCUCUAACCGUUUCGUUCUCUAACUGACACCGCGCGGUGAGAUGAGAAAUCGCAAGUCGGCUGCAACUCGAGUCGUUCUUCGACUGGCUAGUCUGAGUACGGACUUGGAUUGGUGCAAAAAAAUACAUUUUCGAUACAGAGAUUGAGAGACGAGUGUAUGUAACUCUUGCUUUCAGUUUUCUGUCAAUUCCUAUGUGGAUCAUCAUGGCGGUUGUUGAUUUUCGAAAUCGAGCUGAUCUUGAUGCCUCUCGUACAAACCAAGCCACUACUGUCUGCUAUGCUGUAAACCCUCCUGUCUACUGUCCUGGGUAUUCUCCUGGCAACUCUGUAAUAGUCUACCAUCCUGCAUACCCUACUCAGUCGGGCAGCUGUGUGAUCCAGCCUUUUGUGUACCCUCCUGGCAACCCUGUUGACCACUCUCUCGCCUACCCUGCUGUCACAAUGAGACAGUAGAGUGCUUGUUUUAUUGUAACAAUGCUUGUAAUUGCAAACGUAACGUUUAGCAUGUUUUCGUCUGUUGCGCAAUUGCGUAUCUCGAUAGUUGGAAAUACUGUGUAUCUAAAUACGUCAAGCUGGUAGAUGAUUUAGUCCUAGCCUCUAGCUACACAUGCCAUGUAGCUGGCAGUUAGUCUCGUGUGACCAGACGUUCGCGCGGGGAGAGGGGCGAGAAGAACGUCU